rnacentral:rRNA from 1 species
AAUCAACGCUGGCGGCGUGCCUCAGACAUGCAAAGUCGAACGAUUAAGACUCUCUUCGGAGAGUGUAUAAAGUGGCGCACGGGUGAGUAACACGUAGGUAAUGUACCGAAGGGUGGGGAAUAACUUAGGGAAACUUAAGCUAAUACCGCAUAAUGCAGCGGCUCGACAUCGAGACAGUUGUUAAAGGAGCAAUCCGCCUUUUGAGCAGCCUGCGGCAGAUUAGCUAGUUGGUAAGGUAAUGGCUUACCAAGGCUACGAUCUGUAACCGACCUGAGAGGGUGGUCGGUCACACUGACACUGAAUAACGGGUCAGACUCCUACGGGAGGCAGCAGUCGGGAAUUUUGGGCAAUGGGCGAAAGCCUGACCCAGCAACGCCGCGUGAAGGAUGAAGUAUUUCGGUAUGUAAACUUCGUAAGAAUAGGAAGAAUAAAUGACGGUACUAUUUGUAAGGUCCGGCUAACUACGUG